UUACCUGUUACAUCUACUUUAUCAAAUGUAUUGUCUGGACAUUAAGUUAAGUUGGUUGUUGCUGUUGCUUCAUUGCUAAUAUUGGUCACUUUUAGCUUCAAUGCUAAUGUUUGUUAGCAUUUUGCUUCAGUGUUGGGUUUUUGGUUUUGUGGCUGUUAGCUUCAGUGCUAAUCGUUUUAGCUCCAUCGUCAGUGCUGCCUUUAAUUACCUUCUAACUUUAGAAGAUGGAGAGCAGGCAGAGUGGGGAUCCGGUACCUGAUGCUGCAGCACGCUGACCGGAUUGUUUGAGCUGAUUGGACUCUGGAGAUUCUGGGUUCAGAGGCUCGAGGACGGGGACGGACGGGCAGAUGGACGGAUGGACACUGGAUGUGGGCAGAUGUACUGAGACCUCCAAAGACCCUCAGAGGAACCGAGGCGGACCCAGAGGCUGGCAGUGUGCCGCAGGUCAGCAGCUUCAGUUCUCAGGUUGCUCCUCCUGCAGAAAUCCUGCUGCCGUCUGUUGAGAGUUUGUGUGCAAACAUGUCGUAUUGGCAGCCAAUCAGUCGGAUUUCUUCCGCCGAAACGUGGCAGGAAACCCAGCAGUCUGUCUCUGAGAUCACAGCGAACGCUUGUCAUUUUCAAACCCGGACCGUUGGAGAGUCCAUUCAGCAGGAUUUAUCUUUGGACUUGACACAGACGUUUUGUUUAUGUGGCAGGAUCGUUCUGAUCAGCAGUGCGGCCGGAGUAUCGGAUUACCUUUCCUCAGUCCUUGAGCCGACGUUUUCCAAGAAUAAAUCGAAUUAAAUUUUCACUUUUCCGC